rnacentral:rRNA from 1 species
GUACACCCGGUCCCAUCUCGAACCCGGUCGUUAAGCCCGCCUGCACCGAUGGUACUUGGGGGGAAACCCCCUGGGAGCGUAGGCCGCUGCCAACC